CCCACUGCACUGCAAUAGAACUCCUGGAGUGAAUUAAACAAUUUCUGCACUGGGAUGAGUAGGACAGAUGUUGCUGGAAAGGAGAAGCUGUAUGACUUGGGAUUAUCAGAGUGGAAAACUCUGUCAAAGCCACUGAAGACUUGUCUGAUCUGGAGCUUGCACAGAAGAGCCUAUGAUUAUAUGAAUGGAAGGUCACAAUGCCCCUAAAGAUUUUGUCACAGAAGAGUUCCCCCAUCAGCCUGUGGAUGAGACCUGAAAUGUUUCCACCAUUGAUUCCAAUUUCAGAAUAAAAUGCCAUCCCUCUCAUGGCAAAUCUUCAAAGUUC